CCUACGGGGGGCUGCAGUGAGGAAUAUUGGUCAAUGGGCGCGAGCCUGAACCAGCCAAGUCGCGUGAGGGAUGAAGGUUCUAUGGAUCGUAAACCUCUUUUAUAAGGGAAUAAAGUGUGGGACGUGUCCUAUUUUGUAUGUACCUUAUGAAUAAGGAUCGGCUAACUCCGUGCCAGCAGCCGCGGUAAUACGGAGGAGCCGAGCGUUAUCCGGAAUUAUUGGGGUUAAAGGGUGCGUAGGCGGCCUUUUAAGUCGGGGGUGAAAGUCUGUGGCUCAACCGUAGAAUGGCCGUUGAAACUGGGAGGCGUGAGUAUGUUUGAGGCAGGCGGAAUGCGUGGUGUAGCGGUGAAAUGCUUAGAUAUCACGCAGAACACCGAUUGCGAAGGCAGCCUGCCAGGCCAUGACUGACGCUGAUGCACGAAAGCGUGGGGAUCAAACAGGAUUAGAUACCCGAGUAGUC
rnacentral:rRNA from 1 species